AAUAAGUGUAAUUUUGCACUAUUUACGUUCAACGUUUGAUCGUUCGUCUUAUUUGAAAAUUUUUUAUGAUUAGUAUUUUUAUUGCUAUUAGAUGAUAAAACAUGAAUAAUACUUUUUAUAUAUAUGUGACUAAAUAUUUUCAAUUUUUUCACAAAUUUUUAAAUAAGACGGACGGUCAAAUGUUGGGCACGGAUAUCCACAGCUGUACUUAUU
rfam:Oryza nivara chromosome 11, whole genome shotgun sequence.